ACACACACUGUGGGAGUGGGAGUUCAGUAUACUGUCUCUGCUGCGCUGCGCGUUACGCACAGCGAAGAAGGAAGCAACACACGCUUGGUUUCCGUCCUCUAUAAACCGAGAACUUUUUCAUAUUUCCUCGCUAGAUUUAUUGAACACAUACUCACAGGUUUUGUUGGAUAAUAUCUACACCACGACAAAUCACUUCAAACUAAGAUCAUGGACCCGUGGCAGAAGCAGAAUGCAGGCUCACAGACACGGCCAGUCGCCGAUAGUAACAGUGUUGUUACCGACAGAAAAAUCCAAAAUGUAAAAGCAAAAAACUUGAACAUGAACAUUGAAAUACGGAGUGAUCCAGGUAAGCAGUCCGAGUGGAAAAGCUGGUGGAGAAGAUGGGCAGGCAGAUUGCUCUGCACGGGGUGGCAGUGUGAUUUGUACUGAUUAUAUAUCUAAUGUUGAAGUUGAUGGGGAUAUCGAUUUAUCAGUGACUGUGAAACCAUUAAAAGGAGAAUAGACAAGACGAGGCGUCCUCUCAGGGCCCAGGGUUCAUCCAACUGAACUCAUCAGAAGACCCACUCCACAUCCCAUCAUCCGUCACCGGAUCUUCAGCCAACUCUCUUCCUCACCACCAGUGUCUACUCAGGGGGUUUGCUUGCUUAUAUUAAGGAGAAGACACGUCCCCAAGCACCGUCAAGAACUAUGAACUAUCCUUCAAUCCCUUUUGAACCUUGGUUUUUUCAUGUAUUUUUUUUUUUUAAAUAGUACAGGUUUGCU